UACGUAGGGGGCAAGCGUUGUCCGGAUUUAUUGGGCGUAAAGAGCGUGUAGGCGGCCUGAAAGGUCAGCUGUGAAAACUCGGGGCUCAACCCUGAGACGUCGGUUGAAACCGUAUGGCUAGAGUCCGGAAGAGGAGAGUGGAAUUCCCGGUGUAGCGGUGAAAUGCGCAGAUAUCGGGAAGAACACCCGUGGCGAAGGCGGCUCUCUGGGACGGUACUGACGCUGAGACGCGAAAGCGUGGGGAGCGAACAGG
rnacentral:rRNA from 1 species